UACGUAGGUGGCAAGCGUUGUCCGGAUUUACUGGGCGUAAAGAGCGCGCAGGCGGUCGUGCAAGUCGCGUGUGAAAGCCCCCGGCUCAACUGGGGAGGGUCACGCGAUACUGUUCGACUCGAAGGCAGGAGAGGGAAGCGGAAUUCCCGGUGUAGUGGUGAAAUGCGUAGAUAUCGGGAGGAACACCGGUGGCGAAGGCGACAUCCUGGACCGGUAUUGACGCUGAGGCGCGAAAGCCAGGGGAGCAAACGGG
rnacentral:rRNA from 1 species